UACGCAGGGGGCAAGCGUUGUCCGGAAUCAUUGGGCGUAAAGCGCGUGUAGGCGGUUCGGUAAGUCUGCUGUGAAAGUCCAGGGCUCAACCCUGGGAUGCCGGUGGAUACUGUCGGACUAGAGUACGGAAGAGGCGAGUGGAAUUCCCGGUGUAGCGGUGAAAUGCGCAGAUAUCGGGAGGAACACCAAUUGCGAAGGCAGCUCGCUGGGACGUCACUGACGCUGAGACGCGAAAGCGUGGGGAGCAAACAGG
rnacentral:rRNA from 1 species